GCUGCUGACAGUUAGAUCGGAGAGGCCGACACGGUAGUUGAAGAUUGGGAUCCGUUUGCAUUAGGAUUAAAACAAACAGAGGCACGGCACACAGUGGAGAAUUGUGCAGAGCAAUUCUUCCACGUGCAAAACAGAAGGAGGUUGUGUUACUUUUCGGAUCUUACAAGUACCUGGAUGACCACUAGAUCUAGUGGAGGUGGUAGAGAGGAGAAAGAUGGCUACGCUAUUGUCCCUGAUGGAAAACCCCUCCCACCCAUUGCAGGACACAGUAUGAGCACGGUGUAGCUCCUUCAGUGGCCGACUCAUGUCUCUUGAUGCACUUUGCUGCUGUUCUUAUUCUUGUCUCAAUCUUAAAGUUGAGAACAACCUUCAGGAUUGGCUUGUUGCCAAUCAGGUGUGCAAGCAUCAAUUGCUGUAUGUCCUGCCUGCUUGUUUCAUCUUUAUCUGCAUUUGUCUUGCUCGGUGGUGCUGUUUUCUCUCUGUAUGUUAUGUGCCUCAGUGUUGUACUGCACAUGUGCUAGUCUAUUGUCUAACACUUUCCUUUUCUUACGCUGUGCAUUGGUUUUGUCUAAACAUUGUCCGUUUGUCUAUGAAUUCUAGUUUAAUUUCUUGAUGGAAAUGGAAAUUAGCCUUUCUGGCUAACUGUGGCUCACUUACAACUGUUGAUUGGUGGACAUUAUCCCUGCAAAAUAAAUAAAUUUAUAAUGAGACGUACAUGUUUUCAACUGCCUGUAAGAAGACUACACACUCCUAGAGUUCGUCCACGCUUCGCUAAAGGUUCUCCCGUCUGUCCAUUUUUAUAUUUUAUGUGAAAUAACUUCUCUAAGUAACAUACUUCUCACUUCUCCAAGGCUUAUCAAAACACAGAAAUAUGAUUGGCUGAGUAGCAUCACGUGAUUUACAAUUUCUGUGAUUGGUCGGUGUGUUUCCUGGACUGCUCAACCAGUUACUUGGUUUUUGGUCAAGAUCUGUUCAUAACCGUUCAGAGUUACUGCAAAAAUUAUGUAUCAAUCAAGUAUUUCACUAAGAAUAACCUCAACAUUAUCUCCGUAAAGGUUCCCUUCAGUAAUGUCACUGGAUACCUUUUAGCCCUGAUUUCUACUCUUAAACAAACGGUCAAAGUUUAAUUGACAUACUAUAUUUCUUUAUGGUGUUAGUUAGUCAAAUUUUCUAACCUUUAAAUGUGGUAAACAUGUGUUUGUUUUCAUCCUUUAUUAAAUUUCCUUAUUUCUCUACAUUGUUUCAUUGAGGUUAGGCUCUGUUUGAUUGUGAACGCAUGCUGUAACCCAAGUUUAAAAAUCCGAUCAACUCACGGACUCCUGUCACCACUGUAACACGUCAACCGCGUCGCUUCUGACACCAGGAUACAUGCUGACAUUUUCCUAUCCAAAUAAACUUGAUCAUAGACUCGCGCCCUGGCCCUCAGAGGGGGGUUCAUGGUGCACCCGGAUCCCCUCCCAUCCCAGUGCACCUCCUCCUCCACCCAUCUGCCCCUCGCUCUCCUUGUCUGGAUGGCUGGCUGGCAAGUGACAGGACUGACAGACGAGGCCUGUUCGUGGGUUAGUAUCUUGUCGGCAGGGAGCGAAGCCUCCCAGCGGUGUCAGCCAUCAUAGUGCCAGCUCCAGGUCUAAUGAGGGAAACCGCCGCCUCGGCAUUCGCUCCCCGGUGUCAGGAAUUGGCCGACAAAUCAGCAGUGCAUCACGGGCCCAGCACAAAUGAUAUGUUGACAAAUGCAGAUAUUUCACUUUUAAUUGACACUAACAGACAGAGAUGAUCCGGCUGCCAGGGCUUCUGAGGAGACAAGGACGAGACAAGAUGGGAGAGAGAUAUAGGGAGAGG
ensembl:lncRNA